AGUGAACGCUGGCGGUAGGCCUAACACAUGCAAGUCGAACGGCAGCACAGUAAGAGCUUGCUCUUACGGGUGGCGAGUGGCGGACGGGUGAGGAAUACAUCGGAAUCUACUUUUUCGUGGGGGAUAACGUAGGGAAACUUACGCUAAUACCGCAUACGACCUACGGGUGAAAGCAGGGGAUCUUCGGACCUUGCGCGAUUGAAUGAGCCGAUGUCGGAUUAGCUAGUUGGCGGGGUAAAGGCCCACCAAGGCGACGAUCCGUAGCUGGUCUGAGAGGAUGAUCAGCCACACUGGAACUGAGACACGGUCCAGACUCCUACGGGAGGCAGCAGUGGGGAAUAUUGGACAAUGGGCGCAAGCCUGAUCCAGCCAGACCGCGUGGGUGAAGAAGGCCUUCGGGUUGUAAAGACCUUUUGUUGGGAAAGAAAAGCAGCAGGUUAAUACCCCGCUGUUCUGACGGUACCCAAAGAAUAAGCACCGGCUAACUUCGUG
rnacentral:rRNA from 1 species